rnacentral:rRNA from 1 species
AUUGAACGCUGGCGGCAUGCUUUACACAUGCAAGUCGAACGGUAACAGGCCUUCGGGUGCUGACGAGUGGCGCACGGGUGCGUAAUGCAUCGGAACGUACCCAGAGGUGGGGGAUAACGCAGCGAAAGCUGUGCUAAUACCGCAUGUGAUCUGAGGAUGAAAGCGGGGGACCGAGCAGCAAUGUUUGGCCUCGCGCCUUUGGAGCGGCCGAUGUCGGACUAGCUAGUUGGUGGGGUAAAGGCCUACCAAGGCGACGAUCCGUAGCUGGUCUGAGAGGACGACCAGCCACACUGGGACUGAGACACGGCCCAGACUCCUACGGGAGGCAGCAGUGGGGAAUUUUGGACAAUGGGCGCAAGCCUGAUCCAGCAAUGCCGCGUGCGGGAAGAAGGCCUUCGGGUUGUAAACCGCUUUUGGCAGGAACGAAACGGUGUCCGCUAAUACCGGGCGCUAAUGACGGUACCUGCAGAAUAAGCACCGGCUAACUACGUG